rnacentral:rRNA from 1 species
GGCGAGGGGAGUGAAAAAGAACCUGAAACCGUGUACGUACAAGCAGUGGGAGCACGCUUAGGCGUGUGACUGCGUACCUUUUGUAUAAUGGGUCAGCGACUUAUAUUCUGUAGCAAGGUUAACCGAAUAGGGGAGCCGAAGGGAAACCGAGUCUUAACUGGGCGUUAAGUUGCAGGGUAUAGACCCGAAACCCGGUGAUCUAGCCAUGGGCAGGUUGAAGGUUGGGUAACACUAACUGGAGGACCGAACCGACUAAUGUUGAAAAAUUAGCGGAUGACUUGUGGCUGGGGGUGAAAGGCCAAUCAAACCGGGAGAUAGCUGGUUCUCCCCGAAAGCUAUUUAGGUAGCGCCUCGUGAAUUCAUCUCCGGGGGUAGAGCACUGUUUCGGCAAGGGGGUCAUCCCGACUUACCAACCCGAUGCAAACUGCGAAUACCGGAGAAUGUUAUCACGGGAGACACACGGCGGGUGCUAACGUCCGUCGUGAAGAGGGAAACAACCCAGACCGCCAGCUAAGGUCCCAAAGUCAUGGUUAAGUGGGAAACGAUGUGGGAAGGCCCAGACAGCCAGGAUGUUGGCUUAGAAGCAGCCAUCAUUUAAAGAAAGCGUAAUAGCUCACUGGUCGAGUCGGCCUGCGCGGAAGAUGUAACGGGGCUAAACCAUGCAC